rnacentral:rRNA from 1 species
AACGAACGCUGGCGGCAUGCCUAACACAUGCAAGUCGAACGAGACCUUCGGGUCUAGUGGCGCACGGGUGCGUAACGCGUGGGAAUCUGCCCUUGGGUUCGGAAUAACUCAGAGAAAUUUGAGCUAAUACCGGAUGAUGACGAAAGUCCAAAGAUUUAUCGCCCAAGGAUGAGCCCGCGUAAGAUUAGCUUGUUGGUGGGGUAAUGGCCCACCAAGGCGACGAUCUUUAGCUGGUCUGAGAGGAUGAUCAGCCACACUGGGACUGAGACACGGCCCAGACUCCUACGGGAGGCAGCAGUGGGGAAUAUUGGACAAUGGGCGAAAGCCUGAUCCAGCAAUGCCGCGUGAGUGAUGAAGGCCUUAGGGUUGUAAAGCUCUUUUACCAGGGAUGAUAAUGACAGUACCUGGAGAAUAAGCUCCGGCUAACUCCGUGCCAGCCGCCGCGGUAAGAC